rnacentral:rRNA from 1 species
AACGAACGCUGGCGGCAGGCUUAACACAUGCAAGUCGAACGCAUCGCAAGAUGAGUGGCAGACGGGUGAGUAACGCGUGGGAACAUACCCUUUUCUACGGAAUAGCUCUGGGAAACUGGAAUUAAUACCGUACACGCCCUACGGGGGAAAGAUUUAUCGGGGAAGGAUUGGCCCGCGUUGGAUUAGCUAGUUGGUGGGGUAAAGGCCUACCAAGGCGACGAUCCAUAGCUGGUCUGAGAGGAUGAUCAGCCACAUUGGGACUGAGACGCGGCCCAAACUCCUACGGGAGGCAGCAGUGGGGAAUAUUGGACAAUGGGCGCAAGCCUGAUCCAGCCAUGCCGCGUGAGUGAUGAAGGCCUUAGGGUUGUAAAGCUCUUUCACCGAUGAAGAUAAUGACGGUAGUCGGAGAAGAAGCCCCGGCUAACUUCGUGCCAGCCGCCGCAGUAACAC